rnacentral:lncRNA from 1 species
AUGAGGCAAAACUUCACUGCUCAAGUAGUUCAACUUUUGAAGCGUUGGUUGUGUGAUGUUCAGUCGGGCGCUGUCAUGGAGAAGAAUUGGGCCCAUUCUGUUGACCAAUGCUGGCUGCAAGUAUUGCAGUUUUCAGUGCAUCUCAUUGAUUUGCUGAGCAUACUUCUCAGAUAUAAUGGUUUCACUGGGAUUCAGAAAACUGUAGUAGAUCAGACGGGUAGUAGACCACUAAAGAGUGACCAUGAACUUUUUUCGGGUGCAAAUUUGGCUUUGGAAAGUGCUUUGGAGCAUCUUCUUGGUUCAGCUGCUGAACUGGCCAUUGCUGGCUAUAGUAUAAAAUAUCACAAAGUGAUUGAGAAAUGGUUUGUUGUUGUU